rnacentral:rRNA from 1 species
CCUACGGGAUGCAGCAGUGAGGAAUAUUGGUCAAUGGACGAGAGUCUGAACCAGCCACGUAGCGUGAAGGAUGACUGCCCUCUGGGUUGUAAACUUCUUUUAUAAAGGAAUAAAACGAGGCACGUGUGCCUUUUUGCAUGUACUUUAUGACUAAGGAUCGGCUAACUCCGUUCCAGCAGCCGCGGUACUACGGAGGAUCCGAGCGUUAUCCUGAUUUGUUGGGUUUAAAGGGAGCGUAGAUGGGUUGUUAAGUCAGUUGUGAAAGUUUGCGGCUCAACCGUAAGAUUGCAAUUGAUACUGGCAGUCUUGAGUACAGUUGAGGUAGGCGGAAUUCGUGGUGUAGCGGUGAAAUGCUUAGAUAUCACGAAGAACCCCGAUUGCGAAGGCAGCUUACUAAACUGUGACUGACAUUGAUGCUCGAAAGUGUGGGUAUCAAACAGGAUUAGAUACCCUGGUAGUC